rnacentral:rRNA from 1 species
GUUGGCGACCAUAGCGAGGGGGUUACACCCGUACCCAUUCCGAACACGGAAGUUAAGUCUCUCAGCGAUUUGAGUAGUACUGUCUUUGACGGGAGGCUCUUGACGUUGCCACAC